AAAUCCAAUUUACGUGCUGCAGCGGUACACUUUAGAGUUGGGCGGUACAUUUAGCACCUGUCGAGUGCAAGCAAAAGUACGCAGUUAUAAAUAUACAGCACUGCUCGUAUCUGUCCGAGUAAAGCCAGACCUGAGUCCAGCGAGGAUGAAAGUUUUAAUACUGCUCUGCCUGGUGAGCGUUGCCAUGGCUCAGUGGGGCCCUGGAGCAAGGAUACCACUGAGAGACAAGGUUCAGAACAAGGUUCCAAAGGUUGGCCAAGAUGCAGCACCCGGUGGCACAGCUCCCCACACUGAGGAAAGGAGUGAGACAGUGAAAUUCAGGGAGCCUUCACCAGCAUAAAGACCACCUCAAAGGAUGCAUACAGCAUCUUUGCUUUGGACCAGCACAGAAGACAAAUACAUGCCUGAUAACCUGGUCUUCCAGAAUUAAUCCAGACAUGUUAAGCCCUCAUGCAUUGCAUAGCGCAAAUAUUAUUAUUGGUAUAUGCCUGCUGCUAUGAUAUUAAUAAGAUGAAUGAAUCAUGCCCUAAGAUUUUAAGGCCUAACAAGUGCCCUUGCUUUGUGUAGAAGAAAUGAAUUUUUAUGCUAACACAAAUACAAAUUGCAGUACAAAUUUUUUCUCUUAGUGUUUUUUCAGUGUAAAGCCUCACACUGGAACAAUCACUUUGGAGUGAAUGAUUUCUGGUGUAUUUCUAGAAAUACAAUAUAAUGUAAUUGGACUUCAUUACCUUUACAGAAACAGAGCUAUACAUUAUCUUUUUAGGCAUUCUCUGGCAUAAGUACCAAAUGUUCAAGUAAUGCUAUUACGCUCAGAAAAUGCAUCUUACUAUAUUUAAACUGAGUCUAACAAUCCUAUAGCACCAGGAUGAACUAGUUAGCUGACUGAAUCCUUUCUAAAAACUACAGGUACAUAGAAUUAAAAAUGAUGCAGUCUUAUUUGAAUAUUCCAGUGUCUAGCAAUGUCAAGCCUAGUCUAUGGGUGGUAACUUUUUCACUGUUCUGGCACAAUUUCUAGAUCCAGAUAGUUUGAUCAGCUAUUACAUCAAAUUCUUUUCCAUACUGACACUCUAAUUUAUUACCUCUCAACAUAAUCCUAUUUUACAUUGUUAUUGCCCACAUGAAGAACUGCAGCUUGGUGUUGAGUUUCAAUAAUCAGGUGAUUACCCAGUUCUGGCAUUAAU